GCCAAACAGCUAGCUCAAAAAUUUAAGCAACUAACAACAUUAAUAGUAAAAAAUUAAACCAUUCUUUUACCUGAGUAUGGGAGACAGAAAAGGUCACACUUGAAGCAAUAGAAAUAGUACCGCAAGGGAAAGCUGAAAGAGAAGUGAAAUAACCCAUAAAAGCAAUAAAAAGCAGAGAUUAAAUCUUGUACCUUUUGCAUCAUGAUUUAGCAAGCACCCUCAAGCAAAGAGCCCUAUAGUUUGAAACCCCGAAACCAAGUGAGCUACCCCGAGACAGCCUAUAUAAAUUAGGGCAAACCCGUCUCUGUGGCAAAAGAGUGGGAAGAGCUCCGGGUAGAAGUGACAGACCUACCGAACUUGGUGAUAGCUGGUUGCUUAAGAAAUGGAUAGAAGUUCAGCCCCAUACCCCUCAAGCCAAAAUAUUAUUACCACAUGGCCAAGAGAGAAAUAUGGGAGUUAGUUGAAGGGGGUACAGCCCCUUUAACUAAGGAUACAACCUUUUUAGGAGAAUAAAGAUCAUAGUUCGAAAGACCUACUGUUUUAGUGGGCCCAAAAGCAGCCACCUGAAUAGAAAGCGUUAAAGCUCAGACAGAAAGUAGUUUAUUAUACUGAUAAAAAAUCUUAUUUCCCUUUAAUUAUUAAGCCGACCCAUGCCCCCAUGGAAGAGAUUAUGCUAAAAUGAGUAACAAGAAGGCCCGACCUUCUCCAGGCACAAGUGUAAGCCAGAUUGGACAAACCACUGAAGUUUAACGAACCCAAAUCAAGAGGGUAGUGUGGACCAUAAAAAAACCAAGAAAAUCCCACAAUUCAUGAUCGUUAACCCCACACCGGAGUGCCAGCAAUGGAAAGACUAAAAGAAAGGGAAGGAACUCGGCAAACACAAGCCUCGCCUGUUUACCAAAAACAUCGCCUCCUGCAACUUUAUAUGUAUAGGAGGUCCAGCCUGCCCAGUGACUACGGGUUCAACGGCCGCGGUAUUUUGACCGUGCAAAGGUAGCGCAAUCACUUGUCUUUUAAAUAAAGACCUGUAUGAAUGGCUAGACGAGGGCUUAGCUGUCUCCCCCUUCCAGUCAGUGAAAUUGAUCUAUCCGUGCAGAAGCGGAUAUACUCCUACAAGACGAGAAGACCCUUUGGAGCUUAAGGUACAAAGAUUAAUCAUGUUAAACAACUUGAUAAAGAGAUAAGAACUUAAUGAGACAUAAUCUUUUACCUUCGGUUGGGGCGACCACGGAGGAAAAACAAGCCUCCAAGAGGAACGGGUAUUUACCCUAAAGCUUAGAGAGACCCCUCUACGCCGCAGAACAUCUGACCAGUAAUGAUCCGGCAUAAAGCCGAUCAACGGACCAAGUUACCCUAGGGAUAACAGCGCAAUCCUCUCCCAGAGUCCAUAUCGACGAGGGGGUUUACGACCUCGAUGUUGGAUCAGGACAUCCUAAUGGUGCAGCCGCUAUUAAGGGUUCGUUUGUUCAACGAUUAAAGUCCUACGUGAUCUGAGUUCAGACCGGAGUAAUCCAGGUCAGUUUCUAUCUGUAACGCUACUUUUCCCAGUACGAAAGGAUCGGAAAAGAGGGGCCCAUGCUUAAGGCACGCCCCACCCCUAAUUAAUGAAGGAGGGCCAAAGGCCAACGCCAAGAUAAGGCUAU
rnacentral:rRNA from 1 species